GGGCCCUGCCAGAUGUGUGGUGGCUGUUGGCGUCCUCUGUGCUCUUACGUCCAGCCUCCUGGGUGACAUGUUCCCCAUGUCUCGGUUAAUCCGUGCAAUGGCAGAGGACGGGCUCCUUUUCCGGGGACUUGCCCGGGUCUAUGGUCACACAAAAAUCCCCGUCGUGGCCAUCAUGUCUUCUGGAAGCCUUGCAGGGAUCAUGGCAUUACUCUUUGAGUUCAG